GUGCCCGUAGUUCAACGGAUAGAAUACUGGGUUGCGGACCCGGCGAUUGGAGGUUCGAAUCCUCUCGGGCACGCCA
rnacentral:tRNA from 1 species